GUGGAUUAGAUACCCGGGUAGUCCUAGCCCUAAACGGUGUGCGCUUGCUGUAAGAGGAAUCGACCCCUCUUGUGGCGAAGCUAACGCGAUAAGCGCACCGCCUGGGGAGUACGGUCGCAAGAUUAAAACUCAAAGAAAUUGACGGGGGCCUGCACAAGCGGUGGAGUAUGUGGCUUAAUUCGAUGCAACGCGAAGAACCUUACCUGGCCUUGACAUGCAAGUGGUAGAACCAUGAAAGUGGGACGAUCCCGCAAGGGAAGCUUGCACAGGUGCUGCACGGUCGUCGCCAGCU
rnacentral:rRNA from 1 species